AUUGAACGCUGGCGGCAGGCUUAACACAUGCAAGUCGAGCGAGCGGCGGACGGGUGAGUAAUGUAUGGGAAACUGCCUGAGGGAGGGGGAUAACUACUGGAAACGGUAGCUAAGACCGCAUACCAUCAAAAGAGCCCAUAUGGGAUUAGCUAGUAGGUGGGGUAAUGGCGCACCUAGGAGCAGAUCCCUAGCUGGUCUGAAAGGAUGACCAGCCACACGGGACCUGAGACACGGCCCAGACUCCUACGGGAGGCAGCAGUGGGGAAUAGUGCACAAUGGGCGCAAGCCUGAUGCAGCCAUGCCGCGUGUCUGAAGAAGGCCUUCGGGUUGUAAAGCACUUUCAGCCAGGAGGCGUUACUCGCAGAAGAAGCACCGGCUAACUCCGUGCCAGCAGCCGCGGUAAUUC
rnacentral:rRNA from 1 species